ensembl:lncRNA AGK-DT AGK divergent transcript
AAGACACAUGGGCAGGAGAAUACCACAUGGAGACACAGACACACGAGGGGAGGAUGCCUGCUGACCAUGGAGGCAGAAGUGGGACUGACGCAUCGAUCAGCUGAGGGAUGCCAAGCACUGCCAGCAAACACCAGAGGCUUGAUGGGGGCGAGUAUUCUCCUGUGCAGGUAUCAGAGGGAGCCUGGCCUUGCAGAUACCUUGAUUCCUGACUUCUGGCCUCUAAAAUGAUUUCACCUGAUUCUUGGCCACAAAGUUUCAAGGGAACCAGAGCUAAUGAAGACAGCAUGGAAGGGCACCGCCGAGACCUACCUGUGGGAGUCCACCUCACCCUCAAGAACAGCUACCAUUUUAACACAGAUGGAUAAACCCCAUGAAAGUGAACUUCCUAAAUGCAAAUUCUGAUCUUGAAGCCCCAGCUGGCACAUCUACUGGAGACCCUCCCAAGCAACAAGAUGUAGAUGCUUUAGAGAUAACAAACUAUACAAGUUGUCUUCCAUUCUUUCUCCUUCCUCUAUUUUCAACACGGAUAAAAUACAUAUAUAUUUAUCUUGCUGAGCUCAGUAGGAUUAUUUAGCUUUAUUUCCAUGGCUGCCUUUUCUUAAUGUAAUAGAAUUUCCAAUCGAGCUUAUUACUUCCUUCCGUCACAAGCCUGAGGUCCUUUCACACCCAUCCUGUCCUUGGCAAAGAUCUUUGGAAAGUAGCCUGGGACAUACCUAGUGGUAAGCCACCUGCUCUGGGUUGAGGGUGGAUCUAUUCUAGUCAGAGGCUUUGUGAUCUGGACAAAGGAAUUGAGUAUGUGGCUGUCAAACUGUCAGGCAAUACUAAAUUUGGCUGGCCAGCUGAAUUCUAGCAGAAAAUCAUGCAAAAUAAGGUUUAGCAAUUGGGGAAAAAUGGCCCACAGGAAAAACAAAGGGAUGAAAUUCCGUAGGACUACACGGCCAUAGAAUUCUAACUUGAGGGCUGCAACCAGCUAUGUGACCUUGUAGUACAAGGACCAGUCUUCAGAUACAAAAUAGAGUUUGGAGUUAAAGGGAUCUUUGAGAAGAAGCCAUUAUCCACCCCCUCCUCCCAAUUUUAUAUGCCCUAAGAAAAAGGUUUCUUUCAACUUAGAAAGGUAUGAUUCUUGAAGUGCACUUCCUCCGAGUUUUCCUGAGCCUCUCAAUCAAAAUGACUUGCACCUGCCCAUCCAUUCCCAUUGGCUUAUGCUCCUACCCUGCAGUAUUGGCUUCAUUAUGCCUCACCUUGUACACCUGUCUGAUUCCUCUCCUAGAUUAUCAGCACCUUGACAAUGGGCUCGUAUCUUGUGUAUCCCUGAAUUUCCAGGGACAAUGAUAGUGCCUGCCACAUAAUUGAUGGUCAAUAAAUUUUGGUUAAAUAGUAACAAGAAACUCCCAUUUAAAAAAUGUGUUAUCGUUAUCAUUCUCAAUCUGGAUGCUCUCCUCUAUACAC